GUUUACAAGUUCAACACAUCGAGAACCUUGAGCGUUUUUUUUUUUUCGAAAUCUGAACUUGCAAUUAUCUCAACUUUUUCGCCCCAAAUCUGUCUAAAAAUGAGUGCUCCAAGUUUUCUCGAGUUGCUAAAAAAGUUUACGACAACGGUAAACAAAUGGCAUCGAGAUGCUGAAGAAGGAGUACGACGAGCUUAAGUCCUCGACGGACAUUGACAAGCGGUCCGCACUGCACCAAGCAUUCCGCGAUCUGCUUCUGGCCAAAACGGGCGACAUUCCGGCGAUCGAGAAAUUAAUCUCAUUUGCGGUUGCUGCCUGUCGGUCGGAACUAGGAAAUGACCGCUCCGAUGAUCCCGGUGGUGCUGUUGGGUGACAUUUUUUAAGCUGUCACGCUGGAUAAGUGCGAGGCGAUUUGCACCUGAGAACAAUGUCACGACCUGGAAGGAGGAUUUUUUCUUCACCGCUUUCAAGCACAACUUUCUGCGGACGUGCUACGAUUUGCUGAGGGAAUUUUCUUGGCCAAAUUCUUUCCGUUUAGCGGUUGAACCUAGGUGCUCCCAGUGGUCUCAAAUUGUUUAAAACAUUUACGACAACGGUAAACAAAUGCACCGAGGGAUCAGCAUCGAGCUGUUGAAGGAUUACAACGAGACGAAGUCCUCGACGGACAUUGACAGGCAUUUCGCACAGCACCAGGCGUUCGCGAUCUGCGACCGGCCGGGACAGACGGCAUUCCGGCGAUCGAAACAUUCAUCUCGCUUGCGGUUGCGGUCUGUCGGUCGGAAAUGACCCCUCCGACGAUCUCGAUGCUACUGCUGAGGAUCAUGUUUAAUGCCGUUACGCUGGACAAGUGCGGGUCGCGACCAGGGAGGAAUUUUUCUUCACAUAUAAUUUCGGAGUUUAAUCUGAAGAAGAUCAUCAAGUACGGGGUGGAGGAGAGUGAUUUGGGAGAUUCUGCGCGUUCGAUGACUGAUUGUGCGGAAUCGUCGUCUCGGUCGGUGUGAAAAACGAGAGAGAAUGGGAGACCAGUGAGGUACAGGAGGAUGGGGAUGUUCAGAUUAGUGGUGGCGCUGGGACGCAACAGCCGCAGCUGAAGAUCGACUACAAUUUAAAUUGCAAGCUUUGGGCGCUGCAAGACUUUUCCGUUAACCCAUACCAGAGCUGAUGAUCCUUCACCUGUCUCCUCGUCAGUCAAGUUCAAGUCGGACAGUCACUGCCUUACCGUGGCUCAGGUUUAUUGGCUGAAGGAAACUAAAACGACGGUAACCAAACUGAUUGAGGAAUCUCCGCCAGGGAAAAAAAUCUGUCCAGUGAGGAACCGCAGCAGCGGCAAUCUCUGAAAUGGCAACCGAGGACCAGCCGGUGGUUUGAAUUUUUUAGAUUGUUUGAGACUAUUUUAAAAAUAUAUCAAUUUUAGGAUCGACAAAAUUGGUUUAUGUUUAUGCUUCUUUUUAGAAUCGACAGAAUUUCUAAUCGUCGCUCCAUCAAACUCCUUGCACAUUAAAUAGCUAUCAGAUGCUAUCAACGGAACUACCCGGCCGGUGGUCAUCUUCAAAUUGACGUCGGAAUGUUCCGAUCAUAUCCAGUCGCCGGUU